GAGACACGGUGCCCUUGGCUGCUCAGUAGUCAGUGUAGGAUCUGUCCGACAGUCUCACUAACAGCUACAUCUGAUUACUGGGUCACCAAAGGACCACCACCGCGCUGCAUG
rnacentral:pre_miRNA from 1 species